rnacentral:rRNA from 1 species
GACGAACGCUGGCGGCGUGCUUAACACAUGCAAGUCGAACGGAAAGGCCCUGCGUUUGUGGGGUGCUCGAGUGGCGAACGGGUGAGUAACACGUGAGUAACCUGCCCUUGACUUUGGGAUAACUUCAGGAAACUGGGGCUAAUACCGGAUAGGAGCUCCUGCUGCAUGGUGGGGGUUGGAAAGUUUCGGCGGUUGGGGAUGGACUCGCGGCUUAUCAGCUUGUUGGUGGGGUAGUGGCUUACCAAGGCUUUGACGGGUAGCCGGCCUGAGAGGGUGACCGGCCACAUUGGGACUGCGAUACGGCCCAGACUCCUACGGGAGGCAACAGUGGGGAAUAUUGCACAAUGGGCGGAAGCCUGAUGCAGCAACGCCGCGUGCGGGAUGACGGCCUUCGGGUUGUAAACCGCUUUCGCCUGUGACGAAGCGUGAGUGACGGUAAUGGGUAAAAAAGCACCGGCUAACUACGUG